CAAAGGCGCGAGAGAGAGGAUGAAACAGAAAGAUAAAUUGACAAAGAGUCUUCCUCGGUGGAUGUACUCAUUAAUCUUGAGUGACGAAGAUAUUGCUAUCAAGUUUUUAAGAACUUGGAAUUAUCACAAAGUUUGGUUUACGAAUGCUUGGAAUAGAGAUGGUUUCAGGGAAGAAAAGAUAUGAUGGAGUAAUACUUUGCACAGGCAAGGAAGAGGAGAAACAUGUCUUGGUUUGCAUGUAUGUGGAUAUUGGUU